rnacentral:misc_RNA from 1 species
AAGUCGUAACAAGGUUUCCGUAGGUGAACCUGCGGAAGGAUCAUUACAGUGUUCCCUGCCCUCACGGGUAGAAACGCCCACCCUUUGUGUAAUAUAUCUUGUUGCUUUGGCAGGCCGCCCUCGGGCACCGGCUUCGGCUGGGCUGCGCCUGCCAGAGGACCCCAAACUCUGAAUGUUAGUGUCGUCUGAGUACUAUAUAAUAGUUAAAAACUUUCAACAACGGAUCUCUUGGUUCUG